rnacentral:rRNA from 1 species
AUUGAACGCUGGCGGUAUGCCUAACACAUGCAAGUCGAACGAGGUAGCGAUACCUAGUGGCGGACGGGUGAGGAAUACGUAGGGAUCUGCCCUUAAGCGGGGGAUAACCCGGGGAAACCCGGAUUAAUACCGCAUGAUCUCGCAAGAGCAAAAGAGGGGGACCGCAAGGCCUCUCGCUUUUGGAGGAACCUACGUCGGAUUAGCUAGUUGGUGAGGUAAUGGCUCACCAAGGCGACGAUCCGUAACUGGUCUGAGAGGAUGAUCAGUCACACCGGAACUGAGACACGGUCCGGACUCCUACGGGAGGCAGCAGUGGGGAAUAUUGGACAAUGGGCGAAAGCCUGAUCCAGCAAUGCCGCGUGAGUGAUGAAGGCCUUAGGGUGUAAAGCUCUUUUACCCGGGAUGAUAAUGACAGUACCGGGAGGAAUAAGACCCCGGCUAACUCCGUGCCAGCAGCCG